AAGACAAAUAUAGCAAUAUCGAACAAGAACAUAAAAUUUUUUAAUCUUCCACUUUCACCAUGCCCCAAAACAACUAUUUUGUUCUGUUUUCAGAUAGUGUUCUCCCUAUCUACAUACAUUUGUUAUAUAGUUGAAAUCAGUGCAACAGCUUUUUUGUAUUUUCUUUCUUUUUCUUCACUUAUCUUUCAUAUAUGUUUUUCAUUGACCUGGAUCUUGAGGGAGGUGCUGAGUACUUUUAAGGAGAUUUUCAACUUCUGUCCAAAAAUGUGUUGUGUUUUCUGCUUUCAGCUCCUGCUUGACGCGUUGUUUCUGAGAGGGAUACGAGCUGUUUUGGACGCAGGCCUGACACAGGCUUGUGAGACGGUGUGCAGCCAUCAUGAGCCCUGGAGCCGAGAGGCGGCUGAGGUUGGGUGCAGUUCCCUACUGUCCAGCGUUCUCUCUGUUCCCUAUCCUGUCUUGCAGAGAUGAGGUGGAGGCAUUACAAAGGGAGAAAUUUUACUGUUUGUGGUCAAACAGUAUUCAGGAUGUCAUUACCAGUUUCACCUAAGUCUUCUUUCCAAAAUGCUAUUAUAUAAUUUCUCUGCAGAAAUUCCGCUUAACACCCAGCCUUCCAGACUUUGCUGUCGCACUUGUUUUAAACCUUGUCUUUGUACUAAUUACACAGCAAUGACGGAGAAUUACUUUUUCCCUUAAAAAUAAAACUGCCCCAAAUUUCA
rnacentral:lncRNA from 1 species